GCGUGUCCUGGUUGGAGUUAGGCUGAUGCUGCUAUCAGUUAAUACACACUGGGCUUGUAUGGUGUGUGGUGGCUGGGAUUUUUCUCUAUUUGUUCUGUGGAUUAUAUGGAGUGAGGGUGGACUCCUAGCCUGAUCUGCAACUUCAGUGGACACACACACCGAAUGGGGGAUAUGCUGGAGCGGAGACCCUAAAUGGGCAGCAGUGGACAAAGAAGACAUUACCAGAGAGAGAAAAUGGAAAAGAAACAGCAGAGGGAGAAGAAAGCAAUAGAGAGAGAAGAGGGAGAAGAAACCCCAAAGGGAGAAGACCGGAGAUAGAAGACACAAUUUUUAAUAAAGGAAUUGUCAAAAACCA